rnacentral:rRNA from 1 species
UGGGGAAUUUUGGACAAUGGGCGAAAGCCUGAUCCAGCAAUGCCGCGUGUGUGAAGAAGGCCUUCGGGUUGUAAAGCACUUUUGUCCGGAAAGAAAUCCUUGGCUCUAAUACAGUCGGGGGAUGACGGUACCGGAAGAAUAAGCACCGGCUAACUACGUGCCAGCAGCCGCGGUAAUACGUAGGGUGCAAGCGUUAAUCGGAAUUACUGGGCGUAAAGCGUGCGCAGGCGGUUUGCUAAGACCGAUGUGAAAUCCCCGGGCUCAACCUGGGAACUGCAUUGGUGACUGGCAGGCUAGAGUAUGGCAGAGGGGGGUAGAAUUCCACGUGUAGCAGUGAAAUGCGUAGAGAUGUGGAGGAAUACCGAUGGCGAAGGCAGCCCCCUGGGCCAAUACUGACGCUCAUGCACGAAAGCGUGGGGAGCAAACAGGAUUAGAUACCCUGGUAGUCCACGCCCUAAAACGAUGUCAACUAGUUGUUGGGGAUUCAUUUCCUUAGUAACGUAGCUGACGCGUGAAGUUGACCGCCUGGGGAGUACGGUCGCAAGAUUAAAACUCAAAUGAAUUGACGGGGUCAUAGCUGUUUCCU